UGAUGUUUCUGUCUCCUGUUCAAUCCAUGUUUAUUGUACUAAAAUGAUUAUCUAUAUUAUUAUAUUUCUGUCACUAGCUGAAGGUAACAAAGCUAAUAUCAUCAGCCCAUACAGCAAUAGUAAAUAUGCUGUGGAGGGAGACAUUGUGACUCUCUCUUGUAACUACACUGGAUCUGUUCGUGCUCUUCACUGGUAUCGACAAAAUAAAGAUUCAUCACCACAGUUUCUAAUACUGGAUGCUUAUGGAUCAGUGACUGAAGCUGAUCCUCCAGUUCCUAGACUCUCUAUUCAUCACAGAAAAGACGACAACAGUGUGGAUCUGAAAAUAACAUCUGCUGUUGUAUCAGACUCUGAUCUGUAUUACUGUGCUCUGGAGCCCACAGUCACAGGAAACACAACAACACUGCACAAAAACCUCUUUAAAUACAAUAUGACUGAGACUAAGCCAGAAAAAAGAUAA